CACAAGCACUCUGCACAGGGACGCUGCUGUGCCUGUGGGCACGCCACAGCCCAUGAACCAGGCCCACUGGCCCACUCACAUGGCAGCCGGAUCCAGGGGUGUGCACUGCCCCUGUGGGUGGCACCACUAUGCUGGGCCUGCUGGGGACCCCCUCCCAGUGCACUCCGGGUACCCUGCUUAACCGCCCUGAACUGUAGGCGGCAGGUACUAUCGGCAUCCCAUUUUACAGAAGGGACACUGAGACCCAGAGGAGGUGACAGGAACUGGGGCCUAGAACUGGUGGGCGCAGGCCCUGCCCACCUAGAAGAUGGCCAGGGAAUGGCAGCUCCUUUCUUCAGACACGACAGGUUGGCAGGCGAGGAGGGGCCGCCACCCCGAGGUGACCGGCUGCCACUCUGGGUUUCUUCUCCGCCUUAAGCAAGAAUAAUCGUUAAGGGAUGCACAGUGUUUUCAGAAACCAUGGUGUCCCGAUGCCCAAAGAAGAAGGAACAAUUUUAAGUGGACGAGAUGGAACUGUGUUGCUGCUGAGAUGCUCUCGUGGAGAUGAGGCAGACGGGAGGGAAAUCACGCCUCGCACAUGUGCAGGCGGGUCGUGAGGCCAUCAGGGAAGCCACCGGCCAUCCCUGCUCCUCCCCGGGUCCUGUUUGAACACCCUGAGAGAUGGACAGCUCACCUGCUCCCUGGAACUCCAGUUUCCGGCUCACCAGCAACUCUGCUUGGUCCUUUGGCCAAAGGUGUUUGCACCUCGGGAUGUCCACACAGUGACAGAGCAGGCUGCCCAGAGAGCAGCAGCCUGGAGGUGGCCAGACCCCCAUCCGCCCAGAGAGGCUGGUUCCCUGCCCCUGAAGACACAGCCUGGGACCCUUCCAGCCCUUUCCCCGGCUUCAAGGGCAGAAAAGAAUAGGAAGCUCUUGUUUGUAUUUCAAAAGGGACACCUAGUGCUGUGGGCGGAAACUUCUGGAGCUCACCACAACCAAUUCUGCUUCUUCCUGGGACCUGCCACCUGUCCAGUGGUGUGAGGCCAUGUGGUUGCCAAGGCUGGCCUCCAACUUGCGAUCCUCCUGCCUCAGCCUCCUGAGUCCCUGGGAUCAUGGCGGGUGCUGCUCCGAGCCCCGGCUCAUCUUAACCACUGUUACCUGCGUAAUGGUGGCAUCAAGUACAUUCCCGUUGUGGGGCCACCGCCACACCACCCGUCCACAGAACUGCUCACCUUGCAGAGCUGUCCCCAGACAACUAGCCAGGCUUUCUCCUCCCUACCGGAGGCCACCUUUCUCUCUCUGUGACUGCAUCCUCUAGGUCCCUGGCAAAAGUGGACGCAGACAGUUCUGGUCGUUUUGUGGCUGGCUCCUCUCACGUUGCAUAAUGUCCUCCUGCAUGCCGCAGGGGGUGUUAGGGCCCCUGCGUCACGAGUGAACAGGUUCUGUGGUGCGCAGGUUUUGUUCCUCUGUCCCUGCGCUGGGGACGUGCGAGUUGUUCCUGGUCUUGGCCAGCGCCUCUCCCUCCGAGGCCCCGCCUCCAGUGCGCUGGGGUCUGGCUCAGAAGGUCACCCUACUUUUAAUUUUUGAAAGACCACCAUGGCGUUUUCCGGGCGGCCGCGCGUGCCGGCAGCCUGUCCUCGGUCCUCCUGGGCUUCUUCAGAGGAGAUGGGGCUGGGGCGACAUCUCAGGCUGGGAUUUCUUGGCUCUGUUUCUUUGUUCCUUCCUCUCUGGUGCUGGGGCUGGAAUCCCGGGCCUCCCACAUGCUAGGCGAGCGCUCACCCCUCAGCCACACCCCAGCACCCAGCACCCAGCACCCAGCAAACCCGCUGGGUUUAUGCAUUUGCAUUUCCUUAAAAAUAAAGGAAGGUGCAAGGAGGUUUCAAAUGCCACCAGGGACUUGAGAGGCCUGCAGUCCCCAGGACCUGCUACUGGAGGAAGCGGCAGGCAGCUGCUGCCCACUCCUGGGGUGGCGUAGCCCUGGCUUAAGGUCCUCUACUCCAGAGUGGCCAGCGGGGCCUGAGCCCGAGGACAGGCUGGCCUUCCAGCUUCCCCAGAACCUCAGCCUGCGAUGUCGCAACCCUGCUUCCCCUGCGGGGCCUGAGCGGGAACUGGGCUGGGCCUUUCCAGCUCUGCCGGGUCCUGUGAUCUGCAGUCCCCACCCAGGGCUGGGACACAGUGUGGAGGAGGCAGGAGGCGCUGUCGUCCCGGCCCCUUGGCUGCCACAACAGAUGGGGCAACUUUGUGUGCAGGACAUGCAGGAUGAGAGCCCAGAGUCGGACCACCGAGUCCCUGGGCUGCUGUUUACCAGCUGUGUGACCUUGGAAAAGUCGCUUCGCUCCCAGCCUUUCCCUCAACAUGUGAACGGCUGGAAUGGUGCUUGGCCCCCGUGAGCACCGGCUAAAUACCUCCCAUGACGAUCUAUUGAUCCUCGUUGCCUUCAACACCACCAGGUUGUCUCUGUCUACCUUGAACCAUCUGUGGCUCCCCACUGCCCGCAGGAAGCAGUCUACCACACUCUCACAUGCUGCUGGACAAUGGGGACUGACCCCCACUGACCAUCCCCAACCUCCUCUUCCCCUCAUUUGCCACAUUCCAGUCCAUUGCCCUCCUAUCCGGCAAGCACCCAGCACACCCGCCAGCCACAGGCCCUUUGCACAUGUUAUUCCCCGUGCGGGGAAUGUGUUCCCUGCUGCCACCCCUGCAAUGUCACCUCCAAAAUGGCUUCUGUAUCACCUUAAACAUUACUUCUUCAGGGAAAUCUAUUUUGACACCCCUACCCCCUUUGUCCAUGUGGAAGUCCCUGGCUCUUAAAGCCCUGUGACCCCAAACACAUUGGUCACAGGAGCUCACAGUAGUGGGUUGUGAACAUUCAUGUCCCCAUGUGGGCCCUGGGGAGGGCGGGAUUAUGGCUGUUUUGUUCCCACAAGGGCAAGGAUGGCUCAGGUGUCCCCUAAAUAUUAGUUCAAUUAAAUCAUUACUUUCC